rnacentral:lncRNA from 1 species
CAUUACAAGGAGUCUUUAUCUUCUUAGAAGGAUGCCUGUCGCUGGAUGGUCCCUGGAUGGCCUUGGCUGACCAGUUUCUCCCCUGUUUAAUUCCUGCCUGUAAUUCUCAGAAUAAUUGUAGAAUGCACUGGGAGUACAAUAUCCUGAGAUAAGGAGGAACUGCCUGGGGGAGGCUACGUUUUGAUUCUCUCUCCUCUGGAAGGAAGAUGUUCUUCCGAGCAAUGCCCAGUGACUUCCGUGGACCCUGAGAUGAAUCUGGAUGACUAAACUCAUCAGGGACAAGGAUAAUAUGGCCUCUUGGGUGCUUUCCCUUCAAACUGAACUUUCCUAAAAUCUCAGAAGUAGCGGUACCAUACUCAACCUAGAAGAAAGGGCUCUUCACACUUGGCUCCUCACUCUUCUUUCUCCUGCUACCAUGUAAAGAAGGUCUUGAUUCCCCUCCAACUUCCGCCAUGAUUAUAGGUUUCCUGACGCCUCCCCAGCCAUCCUAAACUUCAAGCAGGGUCACCAGGACCGCUCAGGGAGAGAGAACCCAGAAACCUAGCAUGCCAGCAAAAGG